rnacentral:lncRNA from 1 species
UUUUUUUUUUUUUUUUUUUUUUUGGUACAGGAGCUCCAACUCCGGUCCUUGUGUUUUUGUGCUUACGAGGCAGGCAGCAGAACCACUGAGCUAAAUCCCCAUCUACUAACUUUUAAAAUGCCUGCUGCAAGCAGAAUCAAAAUUAACAAAAGAAACAACUUAGAAACAAUACAAAGAUCUCUGUGGUGCAUUAACACUAGGAGGAAGAAUUAA